rnacentral:rRNA from 1 species
UUGAACGCUGGCGGCAUGCCUUACACAUGCAAGUCGAACGGCAGCACGGGUGCUUGCACCUGGUGGAGAGUGGCGAACGGGUGAGUAAUACAUCGGAACAUGUCCUGUAGUGGGGGAUAGCCCGGCGAAAGCCGGAUUAAUACCGCAUACGAUCUACGGAUGAAAGCGGGGGACCUUCGGGCCUCGCGCUAUAGGGUUGGCCGAUGGCUGAUUAGCUAGUUGGUGGGGUAAAGGCCUACCAAGGCGACGAUCAGUAGCUGGUCUGAGAGGACGACCAGCCACACUGGGACUGAGACACGGCCCAGACUCCUACGGGAGGCAGCAGUGGGGAAUUUUGGACAAUGGGCGAAAGCCUGAUCCAGCAAUGCCGCGUGUGUGAAGAAGGCCUUCGGGUUGUAAAGCACUUUUGUCCGGAAAGAAAUCCUUGGCCCUAAUACGGUCGGGGGAUGACGGUACCGGAAGAAUAAGCACCGGCUAACUACGUG